rnacentral:rRNA from 1 species
UACGAGGGGGGCAAGUGUUGUUCGGAAUCACUGGGCGUAAAGGGAGCGUAGGCGGACAUUUAAGUCAGGGGUGAAAUCCCGGGGCUCAACCCCGGAACGGCCUUUGAUACUGGGUGUCUUGAGUUCGGAAGAGGUGAGUGGAAUUGCGAGUGUAGAGGUGAAAUUCGUAGAUAUUCGCAGGAACACCCGUGGCGAAGGCGGCUCUCUGGGACGGUACUGACGCUGAGACGCGAAAGCGUGGGGAGCGAACAGG